AAUGACUUCUCAGCAA
rnacentral:rRNA from 1 species